AGGUUGGGGGCACAAAGGAUUUGGUCUGAGACUGAGUUAGGACGGGGAGGAAGAGUGGAGAGACACGGCUGGAGGAGGCUUCCUUCGGGUCCUCUUUCUGCCGGCCCCACCGCCCCUCACCUGCGUGCGAGGGGCGACCUCGAGGCGGUAGGGGGCGCCGCCACCUCGGGCCAGCACCACCUGCGGGGCCAGGACCUCCUUCUCCGCCUGUAAUCGGUGCCCGGCGGCCGCGUUCCGGGCCUUCUCCAGCAGCACGAGGUGGCGCCCUCGCACCCAAAGCCCCGACCCCUCCUCCAGCAACGGCUCCCCUACUCCGCGUGCAUCGUCUCUCAGCAGCCUUCUGUGCACCUGCGGGGAGAGUGGCCAGGAGAGGGUGAGGGUCCUUCUAGCCAAUUUCUGGGCCAGAAAUUGGGCAAAAGCAUGUGGGAAUUUCAAGAAAAAUUGAAGAUUGGGGUGGAACGGAUGAGGACGAAUGUCUGGCAGGGGGUCCCCAGUAGAAGUGGGGAUCCGACCUAACAAGGUACUAGGACAGCGGGAGGUAAGGAUCUAAUGGGGGCGUGGAUAGGGCAAAUCAGGGCCUGGAGGGGAGGCUUGGGUAAGGGUUGGAUAAAAGCACGGAGUAAACGUCUCACAUAGGAAUGGAGGGCUCCGCUUAGCGGGGACCACAAACGGAGGGGUGCACCUAGCAACAGAAACUGGCUUCAAGGUCCUGCAGGGGGCCAGGGAGGGAACUGGUAGGAGGACCCUGAUUUAGAUGUGGCUCGGACCACUCACCAUGAGCUCUAAGGAGCCAUCACUCAGGCUACUGCCCCCCUGGGAGCGGUCAGUCAACACAGUCAGCUGCAUGUUCCCAUCCUGGGGGGCAAGGGGUGAGUGAGGGGCUGCACUGCCGGCCAGCCCUGGCCCCCAGGCAGGCCCCACAAGGAUGGUGGAGACUGCUGAGAACCGUUGGGAGAUGUUAAGAAUGAGAGAUAACCCCUGCUCUGUAAAGGGGUGUCAGGAAGAUGUGGGGAGCAGGAUGGGGGAUGGGUACCGUGAUGUAAAUGCGACUGUUAACUGGAUAGUAGUUUCCCGCCACUGGCUCAGUCUGGUUCAGCUUCCAGGUGAGUCGAUAAUCCCGCCUGGGGUGGGGUGGGAUUUGAUCAGGCCCGGGGUCUGGCUCCCCUUCCCCGCUCACCCACUCCUCACUCCCCCUUCACCCUCUCCCUCCCACACUCAUUAGGAUCAGCAGGUGCCCCCACUGGCCCUGGGCCCCAAAAGACCACAGACCACCCCUCAGUGCCCCCAAUCACCCCACCUCCUCUCCAGGAUCUCCCGGCCAUUGCUGUCAGUGUAGAAGAGUCCGUCUGUCUCCAGCACAGUGUCAAAGCGACUGAUGACCUCCUUCCCCCAGCCAUCACUAUACCCAAUGGGAUGGCAAGGUGGUGAGCCUCACUUUAACUCCAGUCUGCCCUUCACUCAGCCCCCACUCCCAGCCUCCACCACUCACCCCACAGGUAUUGGCCCCACCGUCCACUCCAGCUCCAGGUGCCGCUGUCCCGGGUACAGACGAACCACCUGGGAACACCAGGCUGAGAAGUUCUGGUGCACUUCCUGCACCAAGGCUGUCUGCAAGCACAUGGGGGUGAAGGGCAGGUGUAAGCGUGCAGCUGAGCAGAGAGCCCGCAAGCCACAACUACUGAGCCCGAGUGCCACA